rnacentral:tRNA from 1 species
AGCGCAACUCCCUAUAGUAGCGCGCCUGGAAAGUGUGUAUACGGCAACGUAUCGGGGGUUCGAAUCCCCCCCUCACCGCCA